UACGUAGGGGGCAAGCGUUGUCCGGAAUUAUUGGGCGUAAAGCGCGUGUAGGCGGCUCUAUAAGUCUGCUGUGAAAGUUCAGGGCUCAACCCUGAAAUGCCGGUGGAAACUGUCGAGCUAGAGUCCGGAAGAGGCGAGUGGAAUUCCUGGUGUAGCGGUGAAAUGCGCAGAUAUCAGGAGGAACACCGGUGGCGAAGGCGGUUCUCUGGGAAUGUUCUGACGCUGAGGAGCGAAAGUGUGGGGAGCAAACAGG
rnacentral:rRNA from 1 species